GAUUGAUGUUGUUGAACUAGUGGUACAAACGUGCUGGUAGGAUAGAUAUCAGGUGUGAGGGGAUGUCAAUAACGGAUUUAGUGAGGAUGUAUUCGACACGAUAUCGAUACCACCCGUCCAACUAGAACGUGAGAAAAUGGAGCGUAUAUAAACAUACGAAUACAGUGUCAACGUGAUGUAUGUCAUGGUAUCGAGUUGGUCCAGGUAGGCUAUGUGCAGAUCAUGGAGGGACAAGUCGUCUGCUGUUAGAGCUGCAUGAAGUGACGUACGUACGUCUGCUGCAUGCGGGGGUAGUGUGGCAAGGUAGAGGCGGAAAGUGCUGUGUUCACUGGUGUGUGACGCGUUUGGUCGUCGUGUGUUUUCUUGUAGAGGUGGUCCUCGCCGAGUGUAGUGUCCUGGAGAUCUGCGGACGGUGCCAGAGUUGUGGUCAGUCGAGUGGUCAGCCGAGACCUGUGACGUCACACGGUGCAGUAUCAAAGUGUCAUUGAGAAAAACCUUUAUGUGACGCCAGUGUUGGAGCGUCUAAAGACUUAAAAUAUUGAUCUGCUCUAAAGUUUACACACACGAUCAGUGGGAAACGUUUGUACUAAGGAGACACUGAGUCUGAUGAAAGUAAAUCAAGG